UCUACGCCAAGCCCUAACCCUAAAAUCACCACACGGUGCUUGAUAACAACUGCUCUGCAAAGGCCCUUUUCCUUUGCUCGCCAAAUGUGGCUGGCCAAUCGGUGGUGCUCGAUAAGGACGGCGGGGGGCAAAGGACCUUUCCCCGCAAGAGAGGGUCGGCUAUGACACCGAUAAGUCGCUUUGGAAUUCAAUUUUGAAGUCAAUGGGGAAGAGGACACCCUGGCCAGAAGAGUUGGAUGCUUAGAUUGAGAGGAAUUGAAACAGUGGACGAGUUCUGUUCAUGCAUACAAGAUAUGGUGAUAGCCUAAUUGGGCUUCAAGGGGAGAUUCAAACUUUCUCUCUGGUUAAUUAAAGCUCGUUCAUUUUAUCGUUUAGAAAAAGCAGUAGAAUGGCUUGGUCUGGCAAAAUAAAGCAUCAUGUUAUUUUAUCGAUCAAUGAAGAAGAAGCGAAAUAUUGAAUGACUUUGGACAUCUAGUCUAUAAUAGAGUCAUCAGUACAGCCAAAGCUAUUCAAUCUUGUGUCAUUGGUAAAACUGCUUGCUGACCAAUUAUUCAGUUCCGUUGCAUGUAUGAUGAAUUUCAUAAUCUAAAAUUCUGAUUCCAAGGCCAAGAGUGUUCCUAUAUGAUUUAUUGCCUUUGCUAAA